UCUGUGAGGAGCCCCUCAGGUGUGGGUGG
rnacentral:piRNA from 1 species